rnacentral:rRNA from 1 species
GGUUAAGUGACUAAGCGUACAUGGUGGAUGCCUUGGCAGUCAGAGGCGAUGAAGGACGUACUAACCUGCGAUAAGCUGUGAGAAGUCGGUAAGAGACGCUAUUACUCACAGAUUUCCGAAUGGGGAAACCCACCCGAGAUAACUCGGGUAUCUGUUACUGAAUACAUAGGUAACAGAGGCGAACCGGGAGAACUGAAACAUCUAAGUACCCCGAGGAAAAGAAAUCAACCGAGAUUCCCUCAGUAGCGGCGAGCGAACGGGGAUUAGCCCUUAAGCAUCUUGGAAGUUAGUGGAACGGUCCUGGAAAGGCCGGCGAUACAGGGUGAUAGCCCCGUACACGAAAACAACCUUGAUGUGAAAUCGAGUAGGGCGGGACACGUGACAUCCUGUCUGAAUAUGGGGGGACCAUCCUCCAAGGCUAAAUACUCCUGACUGACCGAUAGUGAACCAGUACCGUGAGGGAAAGGCGAAAAGAACCCCUGUGAGGGGAGUGAAAUAGAACCUGAAACCGUGUACGUACAAGCAGUGGGAGCCCUUCGGGGUGACUGCGUACCUUUUGUAUAAUGGGUCAGCGACUUACAUUUUGUAGCGAGGUUAACCGUAUAGGGGAGCCGUAGGGAAACCGAGUCUUAACUGGGCGUCUAGUUGCAAGGUGUAGACCCGAAACCGGGUGAUCUAGCCAUGGGCAGGUUGAAGGUUGAGUAACAUCAACUGGAGGACCGAACCCACUAACGUUGCAAAGUUAGGGGAUGACCUGUGGCUGGGGGUGAAAGGCCAAUCAAACUCGGAGAUAGCUGGUUCUCCCCGAAAGCUAUUUAGGUAGCGCCUCGGACGAAUACUACUGGGGGUAGAGCACUGUUUGGGCUAGGGGGUCAUCCCGACUUACCAACCCCAUGCAAACUCCGAAUACCAGUAAGUAAUAUCCGGGAGACACACGGCGGGUGCUAACGUCCGUCGUGAAGAGGGAAACAACCCAGACCGCCGGCUAAGGUCCCAAAGUUCUGGUUAAGUGGGAAACGAUGUGGGAAGGCUCAGACAGCUAGGAUGUUGGCUUAGAAGCAGCCAUCAUUUAAAGAAAGCGUAAUAGCUCACUAGUCGAGUCGGCCUGCGCGGAAGAUGUAACGGGGCUCAAACCAGGCACCGAAGCCGCGGAUUCACACUUAUGUGUGAGUGGUAGGGGAGCGUUCUGUAAGUCUGCGAAGGUGUAUCGAGAGGUAUGCUGGAGAUAUCAGAAGUGCGAAUGCUGACGUAAGUAACGAUAAAGGGGGUGAAAAGCCUCCUCGCCGGAAGACCAAGGGUUCCUGUCCAACGUUAAUCGGGGCAGGGUGAGUCGACCCCUAAGGCGAGGCCGAAAGGCGUAGUCGAUGGGAAGCAGGUUAAUAUUCCUGCACGACUUGUAAUUGCGAUGGGGGGACGGAGAAGGCUAGGUGGGCCAGGCGACGGUUGUCCUGGUGAAAGUGCGUAGGUGGUGUUUCUAGGCAAAUCCGGAGACACAACACUGAGACACGAGACGAACACACUACGGUGUGGAAGCCAUUGAUGCCCUGCUUCCAGGAAAAGCCUCUAAGCUUCAGAUUACAAGUCAUCGUACCCCAAACCGACACAGGUGGUCGGGUAGAGAAUACCAAGGCGCUUGAGAGAACUCGGGUGAAGGAACUAGGCAAAAUAGAACCGUAACUUCGGGAGAAGGUUCGCUCUUGAUGGUGAAGUCCCUUGCGGAUGGAGCUGUCGGGAGUCGCAGUGACCAGAUGGCUGGGACUGUUUAUCAAAAACACAGCACUCUGCAAACACGAAAGUGGACGUAUAGGGUGUGACACCUGCCCGGUGCCGGAAGGUUAAUUGAUGGGGUUAGCGCAAGCGAAGCUCUUGAUCGAAGCCCCGGUAAACGGCGGCCGUAACUAUAACGGUCCUAAGGUAGCGAAAUUCCUUGUCGGGUAAGUUCCGACCUGCACGAAUGGUGUAACCAUGGCCAUGCUGUCUCCACCCGAGACUCAGUGAAAUCGAAUUCGCCGUGAAGAUGCGGUGUACCCGCGGCUAGACGGAAAGACCCCGUGAACCUUUACUACAGCUUGGCACUGAACAUUGAACCUACAUGUGUAGGAUAGGUGGGAGGCUUUGAAGGCGUGACGCCAGUUGCGCUGGAGCCGUCCUUGAAAUACCACCCUUGUAUGUUUGAUGUUCUAACGCAGGGCCCUGAAUCGGGCUCGCGGACAGUGCCUGGUGGGUAGUUUGACUGGGGCGGUCUCCUCCCAAAGAGUAACGGAGGAGCACGAAGGUUGGCUAAUCCUGGUCGGACAUCAGGAGGUUAGUGCAAUGGCAUAAGCCAGCUUAACUGCGAGACGGACAGGUCGAGCAGGUACGAAAGUAGGUCAUAGUGAUCCGGUGGUUCUGAAUGGAAGGGCCAUCGCUCAACGGAUAAAAGGUACUCCGGGGAUAACAGGCUGAUACCGCCCAAGAGUUCAUAUCGACGGCGGUGUUUGGCACCUCGAUGUCGGCUCAUCACAUCCUGGGGCUGAAGUCGGUCCCAAGGGUAUGGCUGUUCGCCAUUUAAAGUGGUACGCGAGCUGGGUUCAGAACGUCGUGAGACAGUUCGGUCCCUAUCUGCCGUGGGCGUUGGAUGAUUGAAGGGAGUUGCUCCUAGUACGAGAGGACCGGAGUGAACGAACCUCUGGUGUUCGGGUUGUCACGCCAGUGGCACUGCCCGGUAGCUAAGUUCGGAAUCGAUAACCGCUGAAAGCAUCUAAGCGGGAAGCGAGCCCUGAGAUGAGUCAUCCCUGACCCCUUGAGGGUCCUAAAGGGCCGUUGGAGACCACAACGUUGAUAGGCGGGGUGUGUAAGUGCAGCGAUGCAUUGAGCUAACCCGUACUAAUUACCCGUGAGGCUUAACCAU